AUGUCGUCGGUGUUCAGCGGCGAUGAGACCGCCCCCUUCUUCGGCUUUCUCGGCGCCGCCGCGGCACUCGUCUUCUCAUGUAUGGGGGCGGCCUACGGGACGGCCAAGAGCGGCGUCGGCGUGGCGUCCAUGGGAGUCAUGCGCCCGGAGCUCGUCAUGAAGUCCAUCGUGCCCGUUGUCAUGGCUGGAGUGCUCGGUAUCUACGGGCUUAUCAUCGCCGUCAUCAUCAGUACCGGGAUCAACCCCAAGGCCAAGCCCUACUACCUCUUCGACGGCUACGCCCACCUCUCGUCCGGGCUCGCCUGUGGCCUUGCCGGCCUUGCUGCUGGCAUGGCCAUCGGCAUUGUUGGUGAUGCUGGAGUCAGGGCAAAUGCUCAGCAGCCCAAGCUGUUUGUCGGCAUGAUCCUCAUCCUCAUCUUCGCAGAGGCGCUCGCUCUCUACGGUCUCAUUGUCGGCAUCAUCCUGUCAUCCCGAGCUGGCCAGUCUCGUGCCGAUUAG
rnacentral:rRNA from 1 species